GGGGCUGUAGCUCAGUGGUAGAGCGCUUGCCUAGCAUGUGUGAGGCACUGGGUUUGAUUCUCAGCACCA
rnacentral:tRNA from 1 species